UACGUAGGGUGCAAGCGUUUGUCCGGAAUUAUUGGGCGUAAAGAGCUCGUAGGCGGUCUGUUGCGUCGGCUGUGAAAACCCGGGGCUCAACCCCGGGCCUGCAGCCGAUACGGGCAGACUAGAGUUCGGCAGGGGAGACUGGAAUUCCUGGUGUAGCGGUGAAAUGCGCAGAUAUCAGGAGGAACACCGGUGGCGAAGGCGGGUCUCUGGGCCGAUACUGACGCUGAGGAGCGAAAGCGUGGGGAGCGAACGG
rnacentral:rRNA from 1 species